AGCUCCAAUAGCGUAUAUUAAAGUUGUUGCAGUUAAAAAGCUCGUAGUUGGACUUCUGGGUUGUGAUUGUGGUCCGCCUAACGGUGUGCACUGUGGUUGCGACUCUUCUUCCCGUAGUUUGGGGGUGCACUUAGUUGUGUGCUUUUGGAAUAUGGGACCUUUACUUUGAAAAAAUUAGAGUGUUCAAAGCAGGCCUUCGCUUGAAUACAUUAGCAUGGAAUAAUAGAAUAGGACUUUGGUUCUAUUUUGUUGGUUUCUAGGACCGAAGUAAUGAUUAAUAGGGACAGUUGGGGGCAUUAGUAUUUAAUUGUCAGAGGUGAAAUUCUUGGAUUUAUGAAAGACUAACUACUGCGAAAGCAUUUGCCAAGGAUGUUUUCA
rnacentral:rRNA from 1 species